rnacentral:rRNA from 1 species
AAAUAAAAUGAAAGUGGCGAACGGGUGAGUAACACGUGAGCAACCUACCUUACACAGGGGGAUAGCCGUUGGAAACGACGAUUAAUACCGCAUGAGACCACAAUACUGCAUGGUAUAGGGGUCAAAGAUUUAUCGGUGUAAGAUGGGCUCGCGUCUGAUUAGCUAGUUGGAAGGGUAAAGGCCUACCAAGGCRACGAUCAGUAGCCGGUCUGAGAGGAUGAACGGCCACACUGGAACUGAGACACGGUCCAGACUCCUACGGGAGGCAGCAGUGGGGAAUAUUGCACAAUGGGGGAARCCCUGAUGCAGCGACGCCGCGUGAGCGAAGAAGGUUUUCGAAUCGUAAAGCUCUGUCCUAUGAGAAGAUAAUGACGGUAUCAUAGGAGGAAGCCCCGGCUAAAUACGUGCCAGCAGCCGCGGUAAUACGUAUGGGGCGAGCGUUGUCCGGAAUUAUUGGGCGUAAAGGGUACGUAGGCGGCCUUUUAAGUCAGGUGUGAAAGCGUGAGGCUUAACCUCAUUAAGCACUUGAAACUGGAAGGCUUGAGUGAAGGAG